rnacentral:lncRNA from 1 species
GCACCUCCCCCUUCACUGUCUUCCUCCUGCUCUGUCCAGGAGGAAGAAGUGCCUCCUUCCUCUUUGCUUUCUGCCUGAAUUGUAACUUUCCUGAGGCCUCUCCAGCCUGCUUCCUUUCCAGCCUGAGAAAAUGAUGAAACAAAGCAGAGAGGAAGAAAAUCCUGGAUCUGUCUUGGCCAAUGGUUGGAGAAAAAAGGGUAGUGCUACCUAAGAAAAUUUAAAGCAACAUCUGUCAAUAAAAUCUGUUAAAAGAGUCAAGGAGUUAUAAUUUCAGAAAUUUGAUCACGUGGGAUUUCAACAUUCAGGAUUAUGACAUUCAGAAUUGCACCUCUUGGGAUUAAAUAAGCUCCUUUAAUAAACUUCUAUUUGUUUUUCUAUUUCUAAUAUGAAAGAAACAGUAAAAUUGGUGACAGUAAGAGAUUUCAAAGUUAAAGUUUUUAAACAGGUUAAAUAUGAUACAAUUUCAGAUACAAAUGAAAGUAACUUUUUUGACACAAAAUAGUACAUAUAAUUCUAGACUAAAAUUUUGAUAAUCAGUAUAAAUAAUGAUUUAUAUAAAAUUAUGUUAUUCAAAUACAAUCAAGGAGAUAUAAAAAUAUGAAUACAACACAGAAGGAAUUACAAAAGUUGCCAGAGAUAGAAGGAGAUUUGUACAAGAAUAUUCAUUACUGCUGUGUGUGUAGUGCUAAAUUAUUGGUCCUCUAGAGGAGACUGGAG